rnacentral:rRNA from 1 species
UCGAGUGGCGAACGGGUGAGUAACACGUGGGUGAUCUGCCCUGUACUUUGGGAUAAGCCUGGGAAACUGGGUCUAAUACCGAAUAUGACCACUUCUUGGAUGGGGUGGUGGAAAGCUUUUGCGGUAUGGGAUGAGCUCGCGGCCUAUCAGCUUGUUGGUGGGGUAAUGGCCUACCAAGGCGUCGACGGGUAGCCGGCCUGAGAGGGUGUACGGCCACAUUGGGACUGAGAUACGGCCCAGACUCCUACGGGAGGCAGCAGUGGGGAAUAUUGCACAAUGGGCGCAAGCCUGAUGCAGCGACGCCGCGUGGGGGACGACGGCCUUCGGGUUGUAAACUCCUUUCGCAACCGACGAAGCUUUUGUGACGGUAGGUUGAGAAGAAGCACCGGCUAACUACGUGCCAGCAGCCGCGGUAAUACGUAGGGUGCGAGCGUUGUCCGGAAUUACUGGGCGUAAAGAGCUCGUAGGUGGUUUGUCGCGUCGUUUGUGGAAUACCGCAGCUUAACUGCGGGGUUGCAGGCGAUACGGGCAUAACUUGAGUGCUGUAGGGGAGACUGGAAUUCCUGGUGUAGCGGUGGAAUGCGCAGAUAUCAGGAGGAACACCGAUGGCGAAGGCAGG